UUUCUCAUUUGGUCUCUUUUUUUAGAAGAAGAACAUGAACUCCAUUAGAGUUACAUCCAGCCUUACAGGGAAGAUUUAUUCUCUUCUCCAUACUUUAAAACUCCACGAACUCCAUAUUUCAUUCUCGAUCCAGAAGAAGAAGAAGAAAAAAAAAUCAGUGAUUAAAUCGUUUCUCUUGGAAAAGAUUCAAGGAACAAUCAAUCCAACUCAGAAAUUGUUAACCAAGGGUUAUCUUGAUUAGUUGUUGAAGCCUGUUAUUUGACUAGAGACAGGACAACUAGUUGUUAUAUCACUACCAGUGCUGCUUCCAUGGAAUAGAUAUUCAAGGCUUUGUAUCUGCCAUUGCCACCAGUGCUACUUGUUACAUUUUUACCACCAAUAUCCAGUCAGUGCUACUGCUAGUAUGCUACUUGUUACUUGGACUCUUUUACUACUUCUUAGUUCUUACUACUGUUUAAUUGUGUGUGUGAAUGUGUGAGUGACUGUCUGUCAGUCUUUGACUCUUAUGGUACUUGUUACUUUUUCAGUUUUUUAAAACUUGGUAUUUGAU